AUACGUAGGGGGCGAGCGUUGUCCGGAAUGAUUGGGCGUAAAGGGCGCGUAGGCGGCCCGGUAAGUCUGGAGUGAAAGUCCUGUUUUUAAGAUGGGAAUUGCUUUGGAUACUGUCGGGCUUGAGUGCAGGAGAGGUAAGUGGAAUUCCCAGUGUAGCGGUGAAAUGCGUAGAGAUUGGGAGGAACACCAGUGGCGAAGGCGAAUUUCCGUACUGUAACUGACACUGAGGCGCUAAAGGGUACGGAGCAGCCAGGAAUAGAUACCCUGGUAGUCCAGACUGUGACCGAUGAAUGCUAGGUGUAGGUGUUAGCGACCCCUUCUGUGCCUCAGUCAACACAAUAAGCAUUCCGCCUGGGGAGUACGGCCGCACCGUUGCUACUCAAAUGAAUUGACGGGG
rnacentral:rRNA from 1 species